rnacentral:rRNA from 1 species
UGGGGAAUAUUGCACAAUGGGCGCAAGCCUGAUGCAGCGACGCCGCGUGGGGGAUGACGGCCUUCGGGUUGUAAACUCCUUUCGCCAGGGACGAAGCGCAAGUGACGGUACCUGGAGAAGAAGCACCGGCCAACUACGUGCCAGCAGCCGCGGUAAUACGUAGGGUGCGAGCGUUGUCCGGAAUUACUGGGCGUAAAGAGCUCGUAGGCGGUUUGUCACGUCGUCUGUGAGAUCCUGCAACUCAAUUGUAGGCGUGCAGGCGAUACGGGCAGACUUGAGUACUACAGGGGAGGCUGGAAUUCCUGGUGUAGCGGUGAAAUGCGCAGAUAUCAGGAGGAACACCGGUGACGAAGGCGGGUCUCUGGGUAGUAACUGACGCUGAGGAGCGAAAGCGUGGGGAGCGAACA